UUAAGAUUAAGAAGUUCCUUUUGAAAACUUUGCUCUACCAUCAGGUUAUCUGAAUUUAAGUUUUGGAUUUUUAGAAAACACUAUGGAAUUUAGAUAUUGGGGCUAUCUGGGAAGGACAGACAUUUUUGGAGCGUAUAAACCAAAAUGUAAGAAAAAUACCAGCCCUCAUUUCAAUUAUGUAUGCUAUAGCAUUAAACUAAAAAAAAAAAAAAAAAAAAAAGAUACAAAAUCAAGUGUAUACGUGUUACCCAAGUGUCUUUCUUCUUCUUCUGCAUGUAGUAGAAGUAUCUUAAAUAUAAAAUAGAGGUCGCCUACCUUGACACCUCCUUUUAUCUCCCUUGCUCUCUCUUCACCUUCAUGCUAGUUCCUGGGACUACCACCUCUCACGGGCUGACUGCACGCUCAUCCUUAAUCCCUUCGAUGCAUGGGUGAGAGAGGCCGGAGGAGCACGAUGUGUUUGCAGUUCCUGGUAGUUUUGCCAACUAAGACCCCAGUAUGCGUUUGCAGAGUGAAUUGUUUCAAGAAGGUCUGUGAUUGGACUUAUUUUUCAAGCUCUGUCAGUGCACCAAAGAGGCUCAUGAAGGGGACCAGCUGCCCGGAUGCCAGCAGGAGCUGCUGCAGCUACAGAUUUGAGGCGCACACCUGCACAGAGUUGGGUGACAGGGGAUUUGUGAGGGAAGGGCGUAUCAUGCAACAUCAGGGCUCUCAAGCCAGAGGGAUGGAUGCCUCCAGGGUGGCAAACUGGAUACCCUGCUGCUCACCUGGAGGUCAUGGGAUCACACCUGAAUUUAAUUAGUCAAAAGGAUUCCAGGAGGAGAGUGAGUUGGUCGUUUAUGAAUGAAAUGAUUAGCUGGCUGUAACAGUUCCUAAUAAACAGAUUGUCCAUAUCAGUGACGUCUAUUCAAUGAGCCACAAGUGGGUGGCGUCCCUGGAGCCCUCACGCAGGAGGGGGUGGGAUGACGGCAUCUCUAAGAAUCCUGUGAAGGCUGUGACUAAAUGGGAUCCCCGGGGCAGAAGGGCAUGUAGGGAAGAGUCUCUGGGGACUCUAGUCGGAGAAGGUGGGCAAGAUCAGAGGAGCACUGGAGGGAGAGUGAGAAGGAAUGACCCUGAGGCAGCAGGAAAACUGGAAGAGAGUCAUGGCCCAGAAACCAAGUGAGCAAUGUGUUCCAGGGAGGAGGAAGGGAGCAGCACAUGCCGUGAUAUGUAAGAGGCAUCCUGAACAUCGACAGUUGGAUUUAGCUGCAUGGAUGUCACUAGUGGCUUUGACGAGGGUGGUUUUGGAGGAGGGACGGGGGUCAGCAUCGAUUGGAGGGAACAUAAAAACGAGAGGAGAGGAUUUGGUAAAGGAGCACUGGCGAUUCUUACAAGGACUUUUAUUAUACAUUAUUCUUAGACAAGGAGCAGAGAAAUAGAGUGGUAGGUAGAGGGCAAAAAGAGAGAGGUUUUUAAAAAUUAUUUUUUCAGCUUUAUUGAGGUAUAACUGUGUAGAUUUUUUUUCCCCCUAAAGAUAGAAUAACAUGCCAAUGGGAAUAAUCCAGGAGAGAAGGAAAAUCAUGAUGAUGUAGGAGAGAGAGACGGGAGGGUUGUUGGCACCAAAUCCUUGAAUGGGAUCCAGGGGACAAAUGGUGGGGCUGUCCUCUUUGCGCAAGAAUAGUCCCUCCAUAGUAAGGGGAGGAAGGCAGAGUGUAUGGGGCAGAUGCUGGUGGGUGCCUAGAAGUGGAGAGGGGAAACUAUGGCAGUUCUUUUCUGAAUGUUUCUGUUUUUUUCUGAGAGGUGGGAAAUGAGGUUAGCAGCUUAGAGCCUGGAGGGAAAGGAGGUGCUAGAGGUCAAGGAGAGAAGAUGGUCCUCCAGGAGGUGGCAGGUGCCUGGACAAGGGAAUGAGGCGUGAUGGCCAGGCAGUGUGAGGACCCAGGUGAAGUCAUGGAAAUGAAUUACAUUAAGACUACUGGGUGUUGGUUGUGUGAUUUUUCUCCAGCCAUGUUCAGCUGUGGGGAAUAGUACAGAGCAGGGGGAGAGGGUUGGAUUUUAGAGAUUGCCAAUGGACUUCUGCAGAGCAAGAGAGGGCACCCUGAAGAUAUCUCUUUUCCAUUAAAAAAUACUGGUUAUAGACUUAAUGAAACUGAUUUAAUGAACUCUUUAUGG
rnacentral:lncRNA from 1 species